GUUUAAGAGAUGUUUGCCCUGGGCGGGAGUUGUACGAUCUAGACAAUUGACAAUUUAAACAAUUUUAUUGAUUCUUCUAAUCAAUUUUUACAAAAGUGAAAAAAAUAUAUAUAAUAAAAUAGUAAAUAAAGGGUAGAUAAAAUGUAGGGGAAUAUAUAUAGUUGUGUAUGUGUACAAAUUUCUUCAGUAAGGGAGGCUUCCCCACCUUGUACGAUCUAGAUGUAAGUUAGUCUGUUUUUUCCGCGGCGUUAUUUGAUACUAUCUUCGAAUUAACUUCUUUGUAGUCAGCUUUUAUAUCUGACGGCUCUCUACUUUGUAGCGAGGCAUUCUUGCUCGUUCACUGUUUCUUUAAAACAGUGAGUGGAAUCCGUUAUAAACAGGAAGUCCUUCACGAGGGGCGUGAAACUCGCGGCGGGGCUGGACUGCCCGUUCCAGGAACACCUUCGAUCCGACCGAUGAAUUGUUUAUCAAGAUCGAAGCGACGCAUGCGCGCAGAUAUUUUUAAUGAUCGUAUGACGUGGUCCAUAGAAUUCUAGAAUACAAUAGCCAUCCCGUAGAAAACACCAUUGUGGGGAAUGGACACUCAGGUAGAGCUGGGAUAGAAGUUUGAGUUGCACCCUUAGAAUUAUCCACAUAAACGUGUGUUUGUUUCCAUAUCCCUGGUCUCGUGUAUCUACAGUUGAAGAUGGAAUGUUAUUCAUCUCUAUUUAUUUUAAUCCUAUAGAACGUAUUUCUAUAAUUCGUGAAAUAGAAUUGGGAAGGCUUGGCUCAUCAGUGGUUAAACCUUCCCACCGAUUUCUCCAAUUUACCACUACACGGUACUCAACCGGAUCUAAGCUACACCACCAGAUCUAAGCUACAUUGUAUUGUUUAUUCUGCUUAUAUAUAUUGUCUGUAUUGUAAGGAUUCUUCUUACUGAUGGUGUUUAAAAAACGAAACUAUAAACUAAUCCAUCUGUAAUAUUGUAGAAAAAUUACAAAUAUUUCUGCUUCGAGCACAGCACUUAAAGACACGCCAACAACACGGCUACCUGUUUUGGCAGCAUCAGCAAACAUUGUUGAGGAUGGCAUUAUAAAGUACAUCAAUGAAGACAUCUCGGGCGGCACUGUUUAUUUCCAAGAAACUAUCGAAGACUUCGAUUAGAUUUUUCAUGGCGAGAGGGGGAAUCAUUCAUCAUCAUUAUUGUCAUUUCCUUUUCAGAAAAAGUGGGAUGGCUUUAGAAACAAAUGGAGGUUCUUCAACUAAGAAACCCGAAUUUACACCUCCCUAAACUACCUGUCUUGGGUUUGUUACUGAAUUAUCGUAUCCCUUGAACCGAGGUAAACUUACCUCCCAUCGCACACAUUUUGUGCCUUUUAAAAACCUUUUUUUUUUAUUAUCGUCUUAUAUAGACCCGUCCCAGAGUUCAAAUAAGAAAAAACAACAACAAAUAGGAGCAUGAACAUCAAUAUGUAAAUAGGUAUAAUCAGAUAUAUACAACUCUUGGCCACUGCGUCAUUUCUUCUAGGCAUCUUUCCUUUUUAAACGAUAUUUUUAGUUUUUCUGUUGAACUCUACAAGUAAAUAUAGGACAGUAAAUCAGAAAAACAGCUUGUAUAACUUUGAUUUGUCGCGUUGGUAAGACUGGAAAAUUUUCCCCCCAUUUUGGUGUUUCUAAAUGAGAAGUUUGCGCGCCGCGCCAGUUAAUAACUUCGUAUAAGUUCCGCGGAAGGAAAAAAAAGUUGAUUUUUUCUUCUUUAAAAAGAGAAUCAGUUCGAUUAUGAAGAGAAAAAAUGUUCAGAAUGUCUUUUUGUUCCUCCAUAUACGUCUAGACAUAUAACCGAGUGCUAGGUUACGUGGAAUUUUCUACCAGAGGUGUUGGCUACUCAGAGAAAACAGAUGUUGAUUCCCACAUGCAUCUAUUCUACUUUUGUAUUCUUAUUCCCACCGUUUCAACCACUCCAUACAGCACAGCUCACCCUUCACAAACAAGGAAUAGAAGAUAUGUCCUAAGAAAAUUCACCGCUGAUGAAUCAAGCUCUCUUAUCGAAUUUUUAUACCAUCGUAGCAAGCCAGUCCCAAACGUUUUGACGAUUUAAAUGAAAAUAUUCUUCAUAAAUGUAAUUUAAAAAUGUAUUAACCGAAUGAAAGAAUGUGAAUUACAGUUAAAAUGUUGAUUUGUGGUAUUUUAAAAAAGGUAUUUAGAGAGGAUUUCUUGGUCAGUUUCUACGGGAGGAACCAUCCUUAGGAGGACCUGUUGUGUCAGACAAUGGCCGUCCAUGCGGAACAUCCUGCAUUCUGUCUUCCGCCCCAACAGGAACGAUUAAGGCGGGCCCAAGGAAAGAAAAUAUUGACUGAGGAAGAUAAUAAUUAAUACCAUAAUUUCCAUCCUGGAUUAAGAGCGGCUAUCUAAGCGGGGCCAAUUAGAGCCCUAAUCCCACAGUCCUCAUUAGCUUUUGUUUAAAUCCCUCGGGGAAUUUGCAUCCUCCAGCUUGCCCGCAGGUCCUGGUGCUACAUUCUACAGAAGGUCUACAAGGAAUAUAUGAGUCAGGUGAUAAAUGACAUUCGUUUAAAAAGGAAAGAUGCCUAAAAGACAUGACGCAGUGGUUAUGUAUCUCCACACACACUAAGACUCUAUAUAGCUGACCUAUUUACAUAUUGAUGUUCCUGCUCCUAUUUGUUGCUUGUUUUUUCCUCUUUGAACUCUGGGACGGGUCAAUAUAAGACGAUUAUAAAAAAAAUAUUCUGUAAAAGGCCCAAAAUGUGUGCGAUGGGAGGUAAGUUUACAUCAGUUCAAGGGAAGCGACAAUUCAGCAACAAACCCAAGACAGGUAGUUUAGGGAGGUGUAAAGUCGGGUUUCUUAGUUGAGGAACCUCCAUUUGUUUCUCAAGCCAUCCCUCUGAAAAGGAAAUGACAAUAAUGAUGAUGAAAAAAGAUUUUGUCUGGUUUUUAGUUAGAAGUGGAUAUCGCGCUCUACCAACCCCCGCCUUUUGAACAAUGUAGACAAAGUACGAUUGGCUCUUCGCCAUCUUACACAUAACCCUGUACUGGUGAGGGAGUUAACCCGAAACCAUGUCGUUAUAGCAAUUCUUCAUUCUAUACAGGAACAAUAGACAAAGUAUAUUGUUUUGUUACAUUUUUGAUCGGGAGAAGCAUCCUCUUUGCAAUAGCAAUAUCUUACUCCCGAAAAAUUAUACACUCUGUAUAUCUUUUGAAGAUAUUAAAAUCGACAAAAACAUAUUCUUUUUUUUUUAUUCCAUUGAGGUGGUGCACUUUAGAUGUAUCGCUCUAUAAUAAGUAUAUAUUGAAUAUUUAUUUAGCGCUAAAUGUUCUGUCUAAAUCUCCAAAAGCGUCCCAUAAAAAAAGGCAACGCAAGCUAUAGGUACGACAUCUAUCAACAUCCUACCAUUGGGUAUAGUGCUGCAUACCUGCUCGGUUUAUCUUGGAUAGUGGGCUACCCGGUGCCAUGUGAGGUAGUCGUCUUCAUGGCCACGAGUCUCGCUAGUCUAACAAAUAUACACCGACUUGAUCCAAAAUAAUCUCCAACGACCUUGUUUCUUCUAGCACCGUCGCCUCACUGAACUCUCAACUUUAAUGCUUAAUACGAACUCCGCCUUUGCCGGUCCCAAAACCCGGAUGAAAAAGGACCAGGUGGAGCAGUAACAAGCUCACUAAAAAACCUGGGCUCAGCUGGCCCGGCUGAUAGUACCCUGUUAGGAUUCCUAAUCCAGGGAUACAGGAUGAGCAGCGUUUGUACUCCAUGUUAGGCGAGGCUGCACAUGGCGUCUGUUCCUCAUGUCAGAGGCGGCCAUUUCUUUUAGAGCUAAGUCGGCCUGCCACUGAAUAGUGCUCCCAGUCUUAAUGACAAAGGCAGACGCAUUCUACUUUACCCAGUGUGGAGAUAAGGAAGAAGAAGAUGCUUAAUACGGUUAUUAUCAGAACAUAGCUGGUAUAUCGAGGGUUCCCCGUGUUGUGGUUUCUAAACCAACCUCGAGUCUUCAACCUGGACGACUCCAUUGUUAGCGACCGCGCCUCCCUGACAAAUUUAUGGAAGCGCGCGAUAAAGGUUUGCAACUUCACGAAAAAGGUCACGUGGUGGUAUCUUCAGUUUCAUCGCCGGAACGCCCAUCUCGUUGUUUGCGCGCUGUAACAACCUACUCAAGUGUUAUCUUAAACUGUUUUACAACAAAUCCCCUCUUGUUUUAAACUUUUUUUUUUUAACCAACUUGGGAUGAUCAACCAGAAAACUGCCCAUUUCAAUGUUUCGGGCCAUUAACCCCGUGGGGAAGGAACUCUUGUCUAAUCCCUUUAGAAUUAAGCUAUGAACACUCAUCAUUCUGAUAAUUUCGAAACCUAUUUAUUCUCUUAUAAACCUUCUAAUUAACCUUCAGACCGAUCUUACUUCUAACAACCUGUAUCUUCUCCAAGUGUUGAGCCGUGGACGACCUCCCUACCAUAUCCGGCCUAUGGCACUGGAAGAAUUCACGGCUGGAAGUCAACCCGUGGUUUCUCCGGUGCUAUUGACCGUGUGUGGCGCCCCGUGGUCGGCCACUCUCUCUCUAUACUGACUUUCUUUCCACUAACUCAAGAACUUUCCACUCUGACACCUCCUAAUAACUCAAGAACUUCUCACUGUGAUACCUCCUAACCCAAGAACGUUCCACUUUGACACCCCCUACUAACUCAAAAACUUUCCUAUCAUUCCACUUACUGGCUCAAGAACUUUCCACUGACACCUCUUACUGGCUCAAGAACUUUCCACUGACACCUCUUACUGGCUCAAGAACCUUCCACUGACACCUCUUACUGGCUCAAGAACUUUCCACUGACACCUUUUACUGGCUCAAGAACUUUCCACUGACACCUCUUACUGGCUCAAGAGCUUUCCACUGACACCUCUUACUGGCUCAAGAACUUUCCACUGACACCUCUUACUGGCUCAAGAACUUUCUACUUAUUCCUCUUACUGGCUCAAGAAAAUUCCACCUUUUCCUCUUACUGGCUCAAGAACUUUCCACUGACACCUCUUUCUGGCUCAAGAACUUUCCACUUACACCUCUUACUGGCUCAAAAACUUUCCGCUGGUACCACAAACAAACCUUCCACUGAUACCACUCCCUACCAACUUAGAGGCACUUUCACACAUUUGAACUUCUACCCAGCCCUCCUCCUGGUAUCGAUUCCCACAUUGUAGCCACCAACAUACUGACCAAACUUGCUGUGAACGAAUGAAAGCAACACUAGAGCUGGGUACGGCCUGUAUGUAAUUCGCGCCGAUCCAAUUGUAGAUCUGGCCGCCGCGCCGGGUUAUUAAAGUGCUGAUAACCCGUUUUUUUCUUUACCCUUUAAUCGGCGGGGAUUGAAUCGCCGGCCAUCUGUCAGGUGAUGUCAUUCACGAGCCGUACACCUGAAUACCGUACUCACACACCCACUUCUGGAUAUCAUUUGGUGGACUCAUUCGUGGAAUGUCGCACUUUGACUUUUAGACCGUUUCGAUUAUACCAAUGUAUUCGGAACAAGGAUUUUGUCUUUCACUCCGCGGGAUCAUAAUCCAGUUCGUAUAAAACAAGAGGUAGGUGUCAGUUCUAUAGGAAAAUUAUUCCAACAUUCAAGAGGGUUAACCAUUGCUUUUCAACCAUCCAUCGGAUUAUUGGAUGAAGAUAUUCCUGUUCUAUUAGAGCUUCCUUUUUAUGGAUAGUCUUUUGAUAUAAUAUUAUAGAGUCUUCUCCCGAAAUUGUCCAUGAAUUACAUUCUCGGCUUUCCCGGUCUUCCUUUCUUCCAUACCUUCUCCCUUCAGUAAGAAUACAGUUAACCACUCCGAGUGUCUGACAAGAUGUCCCAACAUGCUCCAUCUCUCAAUCUAGAAUGUCCUCUCCGAAUAUUUCUGGAACAUCUUGGUUAUUCAGUCCUUGGUAUUCUUACCAUUCGUUGCCACAUCUCCUGUAGCUUUAAGGAAAUAGCCGUAGAUAUUGAAGGCUCUCCUAGUAUGAAUAGGAUUUGACCCCAAGUGAGAUACCGACGUUACAACAGUAAAACUAAGACUCGACUCACGUAUAGAUGUAGUUGUUGUUCUUCUAACUGAUGGCACGGUGCCAACCUUAAGUUGUGGGACAAUCCUUGCUUAGCCACAGCUUCUACCGAAUCCUGAUGUAAGUUCAUAUUGAUCAGUAGGUCGGGAAGAAGCUAUUUGGAUCUUAUGUUUCAGGUCUUGUGUCGUCUACUUGGUAAUUUUCAUAUACGAUCGAAAAUGGGCAGUUUUUUUUUUUUUAUUAGGAACCGAUAGAAACGCUUCAUCCAAGAACAGUAAAUCUAUUGUAUUUACUGUUACUUUGUAAGUAUGAGAAAAUAUCUGGGUAAAUUAUCUUUCAUUCUCAAACAAAAUAGAAGAAAAUAGCCUUCAAUCUCACUCAUAGUUUUGUUGUAAGUAAUUUAAAUAUGUUCCCUCUAUGUUCUUUUCGACAUAGCGCUCUUGGAAAUAAUUUAAAGAUAAAAAUAUCGCUAAAAUAAUUUUUAGUCUUUCGAAUAAGACAAGGUGUCGGAGCUUAUCCUACCUAAAGGAGGGGAAAAAAAUCUUAACACUUUGAUUAACGUUUCUAUUUGAGUCUUUCUUAUUUCUAAAAAGUUUUCUAAGGAAAUAAACCACACAAUUUCAAGUUUGUAACCGAGUCCUUCAGUUAUUGAAUUCUAGACAGGAUUAAGCAGAAGACAAUCCCCACGCGUCGUCUGUAGCCUCUUCCUUCAUUACAAUAUUUACAUAUUUACUUGAAUAUGCGCUUACGUCACAGGACAGCAGGCCUGUCUGUGUUUUUUUUUUUUUAUUUGAGGCAAUUGGUUUUUUCUUCUAUUGGCGAAUCACGAUUGUAAGGAAUGUAUUUAUUUUAUUUAAAGUCAAUUAGAACAUUUAAGAGAUUUGUGUUCCACCGAAGUACUACACAAAUUUCAUCUAGAUGUAUAUAUAAACAAUUUAAAGUCAAAGUUAACAUUAGGUAUAAAUAGUAAAAAAAUAAUAUACCUUUUAAAAACACAAUAAUAUUGCUAUUUACAUUAAAGAUAUAUACAAGUAAUAAUUUUACAAUUGAAUUGUAUCAAUUUUUAUAGAUUUUAUAGUUUUAUAUUUAUAAUACAUCUCUGUAGUAGUAGGUCAUUUAAAGAGAAGUACAAAAUAGAGAUAGUGUGGCAAUCUUUAGAAAGAUAUUAUUUUAAAAUGGAAUGCACAGACAAAAUCUACAUUCAUGACCAGCUCGGAAUCUCGCCUCAAUUCACUCGAAGUUUUAAAGGCGAAAGAAGAAAGUAUAACCAUAUAUGUAUCACAGUAUGUACUAUUGUAUAUAAUAAGUACAUAGGUAAAUGAUCCUAAGUGUGCCUAGAAGUGUUGGAAGUAUGUGCCAUAGGAUUGUUGAUAGCUGCCACCACACAAGACCAUAACACACGCCGACCGGCCGACCUAACCCGUUGGUGACCUUUGGGAAUCUCCCUCCCUCCCUCCGCUCUUCCUCCUUCCUUCUUCCUCUUUGCCGGCUUCCUGUUUCCACUGCCUCGUCUCCAAACACCCGUUGCCUACUUCUCCCAACUGAUGCUGCAUCGCCUCCCAACACCAGAACACCCGCUGCCUCGUCUCCCAACUCCCGCUGCAUCGUAUCCCAACUCCCGCUGCAUCGUAUCCCAACUCCCGCUGCAUAAGACUCCCAACUCCCGCUACCAACGCUCCCAACUCCCGUUGCUUCGUCUCCCAAUUCCCGCUGCCUCGUCUCCCAACACCCGCUGCAUCGUAUCCCAACUCCCGCUGCAUCGUCUCCCAACACCCGAACACCUGCUGCAUCGUCUCCCAAUUCCCGCUGCAUCGUAUCCCAACACCCGAACACCCGCUGCAUCGUAUCCCAACUUCCGCUGCAUAAGACUACCAACUCCCACUACCAACGCUCCUAAAUUCCGCUGCCUUGACUCCCAACUCUCUCUGCCUUGUCUCCCAACACUCGUUACCAUCGCUCCCAACUCCCGCUACCUAUUACUCCUCUUACUUUUCCAUUUUGUUUUCACGUGAUUUACUUUAUAUAUUCAAAUUUGGCCUUAACUACCCUUUUCCUCAUUUUCAGGAAGAAUCUUGUGCCAGCCUUUGUGGUCGUCCGAAACGCGUACGAGGUUGACUGGCCAAUAUUACCAAAUUAGCCGAAAUCAACCUUUCUUUUAUAUUAUUUUUUCGCUAGAAGCUCAUUUGAGCCGACAAGAUAUGACAUUUUUUAUAUAGUUCAUCUAUAUAUUAUAAAAUAUAUAAAUAUUCUUUGACAAUCUUUUUUUUAAUGUUUUACCAUUGAACAGCGAGGAAUAGUCGUCGCCUAUCCUGGCUGUAUACACUGAGGAAAUGUUAAACGGAGGAAUACUCGGACGUGCCGAAAUAUAUCAUUCUUCAAUGAGUAUCAUAUCCAAGGGCAUCGAAGUUUGAAGUCUUUAGCGCACUUUUUAAUUAACAACAAUUCCCGACAGUCCCUCAUGUAAAUGGGUACCAGUGUGUCGGAACUUGUACUGGUUAGUGGUGGUUCAAUGUAAUAUGAGGGAGUUGGGAGGGAGACGACAACUCAAGGACCAUUUUACCUCAUUGGUGUGUGCGUGUAUUAGUAAUUUUACAACAAGGCGAUAAACAUGGAAUA
rnacentral:piRNA from 1 species